rnacentral:rRNA from 1 species
GUGGGGAAUCUUAGACAAUGGGGGAAACCCUGAUCUAGCCAUGCCGCGUGAGCGAUGAAGGCCUUAGGGUUGUAAAGCUCUUUCAGCUGGGAAGAUAAUGACGGUACCAGCAGAAGAAGCCCCGGCUAACUCCGUGCCAGCAGCCGCGGUAAUACGGAGGGGGCUAGCGUUGUUCGGAAUUACUGGGCGUAAAGCGCACGUAGGCGGACUGGAAAGUCAGGGGUGAAAUCCCGGGGCUCAACCCCGGAACUGCCUUUGAAACUCCCAGUCUUGAGUUCGAGAGAGGUGAGUGAAUUCCGAGUGUAGAGGUGAAAUUCGUAGAUAUUCGGAGGAACACCAGUGGCGAAGGCGGCUCACUGGCUCGAUACUGACGCUGAGGUGCGAAAGCGUGGGGAGCAAACAGGAUUAGAAACCCUGGUAGUCC